GAAAUGCGAUAAGUAGUGUGAAUUGCAGAAUUCCGUGAAUCAUCGAAUCUUUGAACGCACAUUGCGCCCGCCAGUAUUCUGGCGGGCAUGCCUGUUCGAGCGUCAUUUCAACCCUCAAGCCCAGCUUGGUGUUGGGACUCGCGAGUCAAAUCGCGUUCCCCAAAUUGAUUGGCGGUCACGUCGAGCUUCCAUAGCGUAGUAGUAAAACCCUCGUUACUGGUAAUCGUCGCGGCCACGCCGUUAAACCCCAACUUCUGAAUGUUGACCUCGGAUCAGGUAGGAAUACCCGCUGAACUUAA
rnacentral:misc_RNA from 1 species